GGGCGGGUGGCGGAACGGCAGACGCGCACGGUUCAGGUCCGUGUGUCCGAAAGGACGUGAGGGUUCAAAUCCCUCCUCGCCCACCU
rnacentral:tRNA from 1 species